GGCGGACGGGUGAGUAAUGCGUAGGAAUCUACCUUCAAGUGGGGGAUAGCCCGGAGAAAUCCGGAUUAAUACCGCAUGUUCUCUACGGAGAAAAGCGGGCCUCUGAUUCAAGCUCGCGCUUGGGGAUGAGCCUACGUCGGAUUAGCUAGUUGGUGGGGUAAAGGCCUACCAAGGCGACGAUCCGUAGCUGGUUUGAGAGGAUGACCAGCCACACUGGGACUGAGACACGGCCCAG
rnacentral:rRNA from 1 species